CGAAUGACUCUCGGCAACGGAUAUCUCGGCCCUCGCAUCGAUGAAGAACGUAGCAAAAUGCGAUACGUGGUGUGAAUUGCAGAAUCCCGCGAACCAUUGAGUCUUUGAACGCAAGUUGCGCCCGAGGCUUUCCCGCCGAGGGCACGCCUGCCUGGGCGUCACGC
rnacentral:rRNA from 1 species